AGAACGAACGCUGGCGGCAUGCCUAACACAUGCAAGUCGAACGAGACCUUCGGGUCUAGUGGCGCACGGGUGCGUAACGCGUGGGAAUCUGCCCUUGGGUUCGGGAUAACAGUUGGAAACGACUGCUAAUACCGGAUGAUGUCUUCGGACCAAAGAUUUAUCGCCCAGGGAUGAGCCCGCGUAGGAUUAGCUUGUUGGUGAGGUAAGAGCUCACCAAGGCGACGAUCCUUAGCUGGUCUGAGAGGAUGAUCAGCCACACUGGGACUGAGACACGGCCCAGACUCCGUACGGGAGGCAGCAGGUGGGGAAUAGUUGGAACAAGU
rnacentral:rRNA from 1 species